AUGAGCUGGUCUUUUCUUCUUCUUUUGAUAUCCUUUGUUCCUUAUGUGUGUUGCAUCAGUCUGACCUCGUCUCCUGAUGAGGUUAAAUCUCCCGGAGCCUCCGUGAAGUUGUCCUGUCAGAUUUCUGGCUAUGCCCUCACUGACUAUGGAACAGUCUGGAUCAAGCAAGCUCCAGGAAAAGCCUUCGAGUGGAUCGGGAUCAUAUGGGGUGGUGGAAGCAUAGACUAUGGAGCUUCCUUUAAAACUCGUUUCAGCAUCUCCAGAGACACAAGCAACAAUGUGCUUUACUUACAUAUCAGCAGCCUGGUGUCAGAGGACACGGCUGUUUACUACUGUGCAAAGACAGACACAGCUGUACAGCUCAGUGCUAGAGAUUCUUAUGGACAGUCCCUGACCUCAUCUGCUUCUGUGGUGAAGAAACCAGGAGAAUCGGUCACUCUGUCCUGCACCAUGUCUGGACUCUCCCUUAGCUGGCUGCACUGGAUCUGA